AAAACUUAGUACGUGGCUUAGCCCUGCUGCAUUAGAGCUUCACCAGAUCACAUGGGAUGAUCCAGCCUCUUUGCUGGAAAAAAUUGUGGAUUAUGAGGUUGUGCACCCAAUUAGUAAUCUUAUAGAUCUCAAGAGAAGGCUGGGACUCGGUCGCCGUUGUUUUGGAUAUUUACAUUCAGCAAUACCUGUAGAUAGUAUGGUGAACCGCUUAUUUUCGCUGAAGUUGCACUCAUGAAGAAUGUGGCUCAAACAGUACAGCCUGGCUUACAAGGGAUCAACCUGAGAAGGUUUCUAAUCAAACGUGUGAUCACACUUGUGAAAAGAGAAAUGACAAAUAUUUCUACAUUUACGACUCUCAGCCCCAUCCCAGGGUACAUGCAGUGGCUCCUAUCUAAGCUGGCUUCUCAAUCAAAACUUUCUUAAGGUGAAGACAUACAACAUGCGACUCUCAGCCCCAUCCCAGGAUGCUUCUGUGGAAUUCACUUCUGGGAAAAACAGAAUGGAAGUGUUGUUCAAUUUAUUGACUUCACCAAACAAUGAGUGGACAAGUUCAGAUAAAUUGCUUUCAGCAUUAAAACCCCCUCAAAUGCGACUGUGUGCCAGGUACCUUCUGCAAGAGAAAAAGAGAGGAAAAGCUCUGGAUUCUGUUGCAAAUUUUCACUUACACGAUGAAGCUUUACGUCAUUUAACUCAAGUUGGUUAACUUUUCCUCAUACGGGCCUUUCUAGUUGUUGUAUAAUAUGAUGGAUUGGGUAAAACACCUAAGAUGCAUAGAUCAAUUAUGUUGCUUCUUCUAUGUAAUUCCCAGAAAU